AUGUUACUUAGGUUGUAAAUUCUACAUGAAAUUUGUUCUUUGUGAAAUGAAGUAUUAUUACACCUUCCAGCUUAGGUUUUGAUUACUAUUCAGAGAGUUGGUUGUUCAUGUGGUUGCUAUACGUAUUUUGAAAACUUUGGGAGUUUUCCACCCAACCCCCUUUCCAAAGAGGUUGAAACAUUGCCAUCCUUUCCUGAUGUGGAGCCUUUCCCUGGUUUUCUUGACCUAGCAGCAAAGUGUUUUCCCCCUUAAGUGUGGGAACCAUAAAGGUAAAUCUUCAAGGUUAGGGAGGAAGCUGUCGUUUUAUCCUGAUAGAACUAAACUGCUUUUCCAGGUAAGCCUCUGACUCCAUUGGUAUGACUCCUGAAGUAGGCUUGGCAACAUGUUCAGCAUAAUGUGUGGAAAAAAUCACUGUUUAUUGAUUGGGGGUGGGGAAACAGAUUCUGAAACCUCCUUUGUUUUGCUGUAAAUGUUCACCUUUCCUGCAGAGAGGACCUGAAUGAGUUUAACCUGUUGUCUCCAGUCCUGAGAAGUAGUGGAAUUUCUCUGUUGCCCCAGCAAGUGCUGCAACCUGCAAAGAGGAUUUUGCUUGUCUUGGCUAAGUUAGAAAAGGUGUUGCUGCCGUUCCCUGGAAACACCGAAGAAUGCAAAAAUGUACACAGAGGUUCCCUGUCCCUGAGUUUCUGUGAGAUUCCAUGGGUUUUGUACACCAAAGACUUUUAAAACACUGAGCCAACAAUCUUGAUAUACUUGAACAAAACAAAGCACUUCGUUGCACUGUGGACUCUGCUGGAGAAGGGUUUUAAGAGACUGACACUGGACUUGUGCCAAAUCAUUUGGGUCUAAAAAUUGGAUAGAGCUUUCAAUGAUUCAGUGUACUGUUCUCUGUCUUUAUGAAUCUAACCCCAGGAUUUUCUGCACUAUGUGAAAACCUGAAGGCUGCUUCUUCUUCACACACCCCACCCCCUGUUUCUUGGUUUGCAUUGUGGUGAUACAUAACUGUGCCAUCUACAGAUCUGUAUUGUUAAUGCCAAUAAAAUAAAGGUGCUGUGUUAUAUGAA